rnacentral:rRNA from 1 species
GUGUCAGCAGCCGCGGUAACACGUAGGAGCCAAGCGUUAUCCGAAUUCACUGGGCGUAAAGCGCGUGUAGGCGGCUCGGUAAGUUGGAUGUGAAAUCUCCUGGCUCAACUGGGAGAGGACGUUCAAUACUGUCGGGCUAGAGGACGGCAGAGGGAGGUGGAAUUCCCGGUGUAGUGGUGAAAUGCGUAGAUAUCGGGAGGAACACCAGUGGCGAAGGCGGCCUUCUGGGCCGAACCUGACGCUCAGACGCGAAAGCUAGGGGAGCAAACGGGAUUAGAUACCCCAGUAGUCC